AUUCGAAUUAAAUAUUUGAUAUUUAACAACCUUGCCUAAAUCUCUCCACAUUAACUACACAAUUAGUUAUUAAAAUAAAACUUCUAAAAUAUUUAAUAUCAUUUAAUUACUACAAAAUUAUCAUUUUUAAUAUUGCUUUUCUCCAUGACUAUAACAAUUCGAUUAUAAUCAUCAAAUCGCAGAGAUAUUUGAUAGCAUUUAAUUACUACAAAAUUACAAUAUAUUUAGACAAUAAUUCAUAAACAUAUCAUAAAUAAGAUCAACAUUAAUUUAUAGAUAGAUACAAUUUGCAAACUUUUAUGUAUACUAACUUUUAAAAAAAAAUUGUUCCGCGGUAUACCGCGGGUUAAAAUCUAUUAUGUGAUAUUAUGCGACCGUACUGUUAGAACAAUUUGGCUAGACGUUCAUAUAUUGU
rnacentral:sRNA from 1 species